AGAACGAACGCUGGCGGCAUGCCUAAUACAUGCAAGUCGAACGAACUCUUCGGAGUUAGUGGCGCACGGGUGCGUAACGCGUGGGAAUCUGCCCUUGGGUUCGGAAUAACAGUUGGAAACGACUGCUAAUACCGGAUGAUAUCGAAAGAUCAAAGAUUUAUCGCCCAGGGAUGAGCCCGCGUAGGAUUAGCUAGUUGGUGAGGUAAAGGCUCACCAAGGCGACGAUCCUUAGCUGGUCUGAGAGGAUGAUCAGCCACACUGGGACUGAGACACGGCCCAGACUCCUACGGGAGGCAGCAGUAGGGAAUAUUGGACAAUGGGCGCAAGCCUGAUCCAGCAAUGACGCGUGAGUGAUGAAGGCCUUAGGGUUGUAAAGCUACUUUUACCCGAGAUGAUAAUGACAGUAUCGGGAAGAAUAACGCCCCGACUAACUCCGUGCUAGCAGCCGAC
rnacentral:rRNA from 1 species